rnacentral:lncRNA from 1 species
UAAGGUUGUUUGACUCACGUUUCUUGACGUCGGGCAGGACGGUGGAUCCGGCCACCUUGUUUUCCCAGAGUUCCGUACCCAGAGUGCUGUGGGGCUGCGUGGCCAGGGCCACAGGUGGCAGGGAGGUCUUAGAGCUGAAGUCCACAGUGGUGGGGAUCUGGGCGGAGGGUAAGGGGGUUAAAGAGCCCUCCAGAGUCUGGGGAGAGGCAGCAGGCUGGGAAGGGAACUGGGGGGCAGAGAGAUGGGGCUUGUUUUUUUUCGGGGGGGAUGGGGGCUGUGGCUGUGAGGCUUGCUGUUGUUGCGAUGCUUGUUGCUGCUGCUGCUUUUUGGCAAAUCUGGGAGGCUGGUGUCUGUGCUCCUGACAGGGCCUGUGUGUCUCUGGAUCUCUGGGGGCCAUUCACAGACCCCUCCUCAGUCUCAGGGGCCUCCCUCUUCCCAUCCCUCUCCCUGUCCCUCUCUCUUUCUCCCUGGGGCCUGUCCCUGGGGCCCCCAGACACAGCAGCAGCUGCGAAGGCAGCUUUCGCUCCUCCUCGCUCCUCCUUCUUGGGUCUCUCCCCUCUCUCUCUGUGUCGCUCUCUCUCCUCCCGCUGCUCUCUCUCUUCCUUCAUGUCUCGGAGUACAGGUUUCUUAAUGGGUCCAGACCUGCGUACAGGCCUCUCACCCCCUGGCCCUUCCCUCCGGCCGGCCACUGACCUCCCUCCCAAACGCAACUCAGCCUUCUGCUUGCUAGGAGCUGACAAGGGAAGCUUCUCUGGCUUGUGGAGGCUGUCGGAUGGAGGGGUGGGCCUGUUGUUGGCCACAGCAGUCUGGGAGAAAGGCUCUUUCCUAGGCUUCAGUUCGUCUGGGCCUGGCCUCUCCCCUGCAUCCUGGAGCUCAAGUGUCUUUGUGCCCAGGGGGAGGCUGUCGAACCUAGGCUCGUCCAGUUUGAGUGAGUGGCUGGAGCCCUUGGGAGAUGGUCCUCUGUAGCAUGGCCUGUCCCAGAGCCUCAACCUCCUCUCCAGUGGGCAGGCCAGGCUCCUCUGGCUCAAAGGGGGACACACCAGGCCCUCUCUCUGUCUGCAGGGAUCCUAGAGCCUCCUCGGGGCCCGGGCCAAACCCUGACAGGGGCUCUGUGGGGUUUCUGAAGAAGUCAGUCUUGCUGCGGGGCUCAAGAGGACUGAUAUCCUGGCUGGGGUAAAUAACUGGUGAACCCCGGUCCAGCUCCAACCCAGAGUCCAACCUGGGGAAAAGCGAGAGAGAUGUUUUAAUCAAAAACUCUGCAAACAAUAGAAGUGGCUGCCUCUCAUUCAUAUGCCCUGAGGAUUUGAGGAAACCAGCGGUGUACUGAGAUGCAGCCUGAUUGGUGUGUUGUCCAUUCACCUGGUGUCCUUGUCCUCCCAUCCUUUAGGGGGAGUGACGGAGGUUAGGGGAUCAGUUUGUGCGUACGGGUCAGACCCCCACACCGUACGUGGUUCAGAGGGGAGACUGUGGUCCCGUAUGGGCCUGGUCAGGUGGUCAAAGGAGUCAGAACUGGAGCAGGAUUUGUCCCCUGCUUCUCUACGAACUAUCUGCUUAGGACCCAUCCGCCCUGG